rnacentral:rRNA from 1 species
CCUACGGAGGCUGCAGUGGGGAAUAUUGGACAAUGGGCGAAAGCCUGAUCCAGCCAUGCCGCGUGUGUGAAGAAGGCCUUCGGGUUGUAAAGCACUUUCAGUGGGGAAGAAAGCCUUGGGGCUAAUACCCUCGAGGAAGGACAUCACCCACAGAAGAAGCACCGGCUAACUCCGUGCCAGCAGCCGCGGUAAUACGGAGGGUGCGAGCGUUAAUCGGAAUUACUGGGCGUAAAGCGCGCGUAGGCGGUCUGAUAAGCCGGUUGUGAAAGCCCCGGGCUCAACCUGGGAACGGCAUCCGGAACUGUCAGGCUAGAGUGCAGGAGAGGAAGGUAGAAUUCCCGGUGUAGCGGUGAAAUGCGUAGAGAUCGGGAGGAAUACCAGUGGCGAAGGCGGCCUUCUGGACUGACACUGACGCUGAGGUGCGAAAGCGUGGGUAGCAAACAGGAUUAGAUACCCGUGUAGUC